CAAGCAAUAAGGGCUAUAGCUCAGUUGGUAGAGCACCUCGUUUACACGCGCGCCAAUGUUUUUCAAGGUAAUCCAUCAUACAAUCAAAUCAAAAAAUUGUGAUCUUAAUUGAGAAAUCGAUGUCUUACCCCAUAACUUUGAGGGAACAAUAGCAUGACAAAGGGUUCGGUUCGAUUGGGGUGCCCAUUUAGGUUAGGCACAAAAUGGACACUCUCGUGGAUUUAAGGUAUUGAUAAGGUGAAUAUCCAAUAUUUUCAAUGCUAGGCUUAAUGAGUAUAAGGACCUCAAAAAAUCUCUUUUCGUCCUAUGAACUUUAAGGUGUAUGAAGUUUCAUAUUUCAUUUUGUAAGAGGAACGGUAGAGACUUCAUUUGACUUAGGUUGAUCUAGGCCAUAGGCAGACCUACGUCACGACAACCCUACCCUUGAAAGACUUUGGUAGUGCUCUUGGAUUAGAAUUCAAAAUAAUAAAUCGGAGCACAUGGAGCCAUCUUCUUAUCUUAUUUUUUUG
rnacentral:lncRNA from 1 species